AUGAACGCUAGCGACAGGCCUAACACAUGCAAGUCGAGGGGCAGCACAAGGAGCAAUCUGAGGUGGCGACCGGCGCACGGGUGAGUAACACGUAUGCAACCUGCCUGUAAGCGGGGAAUAACCCGUUGAAAGACGGACUAAUACCGCAUAAUACUAAAUUACUGCAUGGUAAUUUAUUUAAACAUUUAUGGCUUACAGCUGGGCAUGCGCAUGAUUAGCUAGUUGGAGAGGUAACGGCUCCCCAAGGCAACGAUCAUUAGGGGUUCUGAGAGGAAGGUCCCCCCACACUGGUACUGAGACACGGACCAGACUCCUACGGGAGGCAGCAGUGAGGAAUAUUGGUCAAUGGACGAGAGUCUGAACCAGCCAAGUCGCGUGCAGGAAGAAUUGUCCUAUGGAUUGUAAACUGCUUUUGCAGGGGAAUAAAGUGCAUCACGUGUGAUGUUUUGUAUGUACUCUGCGAAUAAGGAUCGGCUAACUCCGUGCCAGCCGCGGC
rnacentral:rRNA from 1 species